AAAAAAAAAAAGAAGAAGAAGAGAGAAUUAAAAAGAGGGAGGAAGUGACGUCAGCACCAGAGAAACUUAUUUUGUCGUUCAACGUUUCUAUUACAGUAUCACCAUAGGUAUCACUUAUAGCCACCCAGUAAAAUUCAUGAGGGAAACUGGAGGAUAUGAGUCUUUCUUCGUCUACCAAACGUCUGCUUCACACUCCAGGCCGAGUAAGAAAACCCAAAAUACCAAUGCCACUUACCAAACGGAUUUACCAAUGUUUCUACCUGGUGACAUUAUAAGGAGAAGUGAACCCCCCAAAAAUACUGUCAUUUAAACUUGAUGUCAAGAAAGCAUGAACCAUUUUCUGCAUAUUGAGACUUGACUGUACAUAUAUAUACGUUUCUAUUAAAUACAUCGGCCGUAAACCUGUAAACCUGAUAUAGUUAGGCAGCUUAUGUCGAUUUUUUGACCGGAUGGGGACAGAUCUGACAAAAGUGUGACAUUUUUUCCUAGCUAUCUACAUCCAAAAUACUCUCAAUUUUUGCUAGGCCCCACAUGCACAGGUCAUACUGACAGCAUGUACGUGGAAAAAUGCAAUUUUUGAGGUUUCUGCAGUAACAGAGGCCUUCAGGUUCAUUGCAGAGAAUCCUUUUGUUGCCAUGGAGUUGAACAGCUACCACUUCAAAUUGCUGGAACGUUUCACAGUUGUCCUGUAUGACAAAACCAGCCAGCUGAGCUCUGUUGAUGAGGCCGGCAGAGAGCUGUUUUGCCACAGAGACAAGAUGAUGAUGGAAGCCCUUCCUCCCACACAGGGAGCAUUAUUACAGCAUUCAAACCGUGCUGUCUACCAGGCAAGCAUUUGGACCACUGCUGACCAGCCCCAGCAGCAAGCACCAUCUCCAGAGGGAUGGGGCUGGACUCUGGACAAGGACAGCAAGGCUUGGCUCCCUUUUUGGACGACACUGCCAAUAGCAUCUGAAGCUUGCAGCCAACUAGUCAAAUGUGCAUGCAAGGGUGCAAGAGGAUGUGGCACCAGAUGUGGUUGCAGGAAAGGUGGAUGGCAAUACACAAGACGGUGCAAGUGCAGCUGUGACAAAUAGAUCAAUGGCUAUCCACAUACUCGUACCAGCUGCGGUUGCCGAUGUACAUGCCAGAAUUGCUUUAAAGACGUUUUCCUAAAUGUUGAAAACUUUAAGGGGCUGAAUAAGCAGUUAUAAACACUAAUAUUUCUGAAACAAAUUAAUGUUUAAUUGUCAUUUUCACUAUGGAAGCAAGUUACGUACAAUGUCGCGAGAUGAUUUUUUGGCCUUAUUUUCGAGUUUUGUCAAACCAUAAACAAAUAUCUCGCAAAAUAUGAAUGUUUAUUGAUUAAAAAAUUAUUUGAAAUGUA